rnacentral:rRNA from 1 species
UGGGGAAUAUUGCACAAUGGACGAAAGUCUGAUGCAGCAACGCCGCGUGGAGGAUGACACAUUUCGGUGCGUAAACUCCUUUUAUAUAGGAAGAUAAUGACGGUACUAUAUGAAUAAGCACCGGCUAACUCCGUGCCAGCAGCCGCGGUAAUACGGAGGGUGCAAGCGUUACUCGGAAUCACUGGGCGUAAAGAGCGUGUAGGCGGAUAUAUAAGUCAGAAGUGAAAUCCAAUAGCUUAACUAUUGAACUGCUUUUGAAACUGUGUAUCUAGAAUGUGGGAGAGGUAGAUGGAAUUUCUGGUGUAGGGGUAAAAUCCGUAGAGAUCAGAAGGAAUACCGAUUGCGAAGGCGAUCUACUGGAACAUUAUUGACGCUGAGACGCGAA